rnacentral:misc_RNA from 1 species
AAGACUAUAGACCUGCGGAGUACCUGCGGAGGGAUCAUUAGUGAACGCCCUCACGGGCUUAUAACUAUUCCAAACCUCUGUGAACCGCGCCCUUCGGGGCUAUUUUACAAACAUGGUGUAAUGAACGUCAUAUAUCAUAACAAAACAAAACUUUUAACAAUGGAUCUCU